rnacentral:rRNA from 1 species
UACGGAGGGUGCGAGCGUUGUCCGGAAUCAUUGGGCGUAAAGGGCGCGUAGGUGGCCCGGUCAGCGUGCGGUGAAAGCUCGGGGCUCAACCCCGAGUCGGCCGUGCGAACUGCUGGGCUUGAGCACUGUAGAGGCAGGCGGAAUUCCGGGUGUAGCGGUGGAAUGCGUAGAGAUCCGGAAGAACACCGGUGGCGAAGGCGGCCUGCUGGGCAGUGGCUGACACUGAGGCACGAAGGUCAGGGGAGCAAACGGG